UACAGAGGGUGCGAGCGUUGUCCGGAAUCACUGGGCGUAAAGGGCGCGUAGGUGGCGACCCAAGUCGAUGGUGAAAGCUCGCCGCUCAACGGCGAGUCGGCCACCGAUACUGGGUUGCUCGAGCACUGUAGAGGCUAAUGGAAUUCCGGGGUGUAGCGGUGGAAUGCGUAGAGAUCCGGAAGAACACCGGUGGCGAAGGCGGUUAGCUGGGCAGUUGCUGACACUGAGGAGCGAAAGCGUGGGGAGCGAA
rnacentral:rRNA from 1 species